rnacentral:lncRNA from 13 species
ACCCUGAAGCAGCUUCAGGAGCGGCUGAGCAGUAGGGGGAGAGGGUCAGAGGUCGGCUAGGAUUCCCCAGAGAUUGUCGGCGGAGCGGCCCGAAGAAGAGGGUGAUGAAGAGGAGAAGGAGGCUGAAGACGUUGAGGACAAGGAAUCUGACACAUCUACAUCUCCCUUACCCUGCAACACUAGUCUCACUGCAGGACAGGCCACAUCCAUAGAAUCAUCUAUGUUUUACAAGUCGAGUAUGUAUCACUCACAGCACAUCCAUAUCCAACACAUACAGAAUACUUUACUUUCACUCAGUUGGUGUUCAUCAGACUCUAGCUAUAACGUUACCUCAGCCAUCACACAAUCUUUAGGUGUAGGGAUACAAAGUGAUUUGCAGUAGUCAGCAGUAGUGGGUAAGUGUACUAAUGUUGGCAAAUGUGCUAUAAAAUGUUUUUCUUCAACUAGUUGGAAACGUUGAAAAAGAAAACAAGCCGAACCAAUCAACAAUCCAAAUUACAUUUCCUCAGUUACCAAGUAGUAGAAGAAUGUUUAGUAUAGUUGGGUUCAGAGAUGAUUCUACUUCAAUACCACCAUUUUUCUUCAUUCUAGUAUUUCAAUAGUUGUCAAUGUUUUUAUUUGACAAAUAAUACAUCCGGUUUAAUAAGAGCCUUAUACGGCAACAACAUGUAACUACUACAAGGUACAGGCUGAUGCUUCAGUCUUACAAAUACUAGUAAAUACUUCACACAACUACUAAUGCACAGAGUAUCGUCUCAGGUAAGAAAUAAUAGGAUACACAAGUUGUACAGAUAGAAAUCACUGCUUGAGUGCGAAGCAGGGUAGCCUAGGGGUUAGAGUGUUGGACUAGCAACCGGAAGGUUGCAAGUUCAAACCCCCAAGCUGUCGUUCUGCCCCUGAACAGGCAGUUAAACCACUGUUCCUAGGCUGUCGUUGAAAAUAAGAAUUUGUUCUUAACUGACUUGUCUAGUUAAAUAAAGGUGUCCAAACACAAAGGCCUCUCAAGUCAUCCAGUAGUGCCUGAUAUGGGAAAUAGAUUAAUUCAACCAUGCAUGAAAAACACAGGUGACAAAGAUCAGAUGUGGGAAAUAACACAUUUUCUGCCUCUCAAACCAGAGCGGUAGAGCUUUUGGAGGAACUGGUUUAAACUCUCUGUGCAAUGGAGUUGGACCUGUUACCGGGGGAGUAUACAGAGGAAUAUGCGGAAUCAUCCAGUCUAGCUUAUGAUUAGAUGUAUAGAGCAAUGUAGAAGAGGCCCAGGAUUGCCACCAACCUCCUCCUGUGGCUGUCAUAUAACCUGUGUUUUCACAUCAGUGCUCAUGGAGGAGAGAGGACGAGUGCCACGCACCUGCACUUUUGUCCAUUUUUGUAAUGAAACAUUUUUUUAAAAUCUUCAACGACCUGCAGUGCCAUAUACACACACAUACACACGGGACGCCAACACACACAGACACACUGUACAAUCAGACUAGUGCUCAUGAAGGAGAGUGGUCGAGGAGGGAGGAAGCCAUUCUAGACUAUUGAGAUGCAUUAGUCUUUACAUGCAAGAUCGAGCUCAUCGUCACAUGACUAGCUUCUUCAGCCCCAUUGCUUCACUAUAAACCACGUCUACAAGGCUGUCUUUGCUGUUUGAAAAUAAAGCUUCAGCUAUUCAUCAAAGGAAAGGAUGAUGAUAUUCACCUCUGAGCACCAGAGACUUCACUAUCUAUCCAGACAUGGGCUUUGUUUUCAGAAGCAUCUGUUCGUAAAGGGUACAUUUGUAGCUUAUACGUGUGGUUGAAAGAAAGCUACCAUCGUUGGCAACUUUUUUGCUACAUCCCCAGAGAGCCUUUUUUAAUGUCAAGUUGUCGCAAAGUGCUUGGCAGUAACCUGGCCUAGAACCCAAAGGACAAGCAGAACCACAGCAGCAAGGGGGGAAAUAAUAUAACCCUCGAGGUUAACCAGACUGAGGGGAGGCCCAUCCUCCUUUGGUUGUACCAGGUAGAGGUUACAUACAUUGUACUCGUAUGUUGUUCAGAGAAUUUCAAGUAGGGAUAGACUGUUUUCCGUAUCUGCCGAGACACAUACAGUUAAGGACCUUUUGGCCAGAUAGUUGUCCAUAAAAACCGUACGUUUUAGGGUAUAGACAUUGCUGACACAGCAUGAUGGGACAGACCAGUAGGUCGGGCGAAUGCGGCGGCAUCGGUGGGUAGGGUAAAUCAGUAAGGGCGGGAAUGGGGCAGUAGAGCAGCAUCUGGAAGUA